UUCCGUUGCCGUCGCCUCCGUUACUAUACGUUGGAACCCCAUCCGAGGUUAACUUUUCUUCCUAUUUGGCGAUUUUGCCCUUCGCCCCAAUCAGUCAACGUUGUCCGUGAGGAAUCGUGGUUCUGUUUCUCUGCGACAAUGCAAGUUGGAGACUUGGAGCGGAGCAGAGGCGACGCUUGCCGGCGAUGGCUAGUUCCGUCGUCGACGCCGCGUGUGCCACUACCGCCCGACGGCCCGACCUGCGGAUAACGCCAUCAUCCUCCAGGCGUUCGUGUCAGCAUACACUGAUCCACGUCGAGCUUCUGCACGUCCUCGCCGUACGCUGUCAGGUGCCUCCGCCGGCGGCGGCGAUGGCUGCGAACUUGGCUCGGAGCUGCGCCCUUCCUUCAUCCCCCGUGACAGCCUGGACACGGUACCCUCCGCGGGGAGCGUGCCGGUCCUCAUCCGCGCACAGCAAGGAGCGCAGCAGACGCAAAACACAAGACAAGGCAGAGGAACCAUGGCCGGGCCAUCGUGGCCAUCGCAGAGCUACGCGAGACUGCUGGUUCGAACAUUGACAAGAAGAUGGAGGCUGAUCUCAAGGAUAGCACAGAGCUUGAGCAGAGGAUGAGAUGAAGAGAACCUGAGAGCAAAAAUGACAUUUUUAAUAAUGGAGUAGGCAUUGAGGUGCAACAAGGAGACAGUCUGACAUUUCCAGUGGCAGAGUUCAAUGUUUCGUAUUCUCUUCACUUAAAAUUGUAGAUCUUUUUAGACCAUGUUUAGUUACCCCCAAAUUCCCAACUUUGUCACUAUGCAAAAAGAAGAUUCAUCAUCACAUCAAACUUGCGGUA